rnacentral:rRNA from 1 species
CGGAGGCAGCAGUAGGGAAUCUUCCGCAAUGGACGAAAGUCUGACGGAGCAACGCCGCGUGAGUGAUGAAGGUUUUCGGAUCGUAAAGCUCUGUUGCCAGGGAAGAACACUUGGGAGAGUAACUGCUCUCAAGGUGACGGUACCUGAGAAGAAAGCCCCGGCUAACUACGUGCCAGCAGCCGCGGUAAUACGUAGGGGGCAAGCGUUGUCCGGAAUUAUUGGGCGUAAAGCGCGCGCAGGCGGUCAUUUAAGUUUGGUGUUUAAUCCCGGAGCUCAACUCCGGGUCGCACUGGAAACUGGGUGACUUGAGUACAGAAGAGGAGAGUGGAAUUCCACGUGUAGCGGUGAAAUGCGUAGAUAUGUGGAGGAACACCAGUGGCGAAGGCGACUCUCUGGGCUGUAACUGACGCUGAGGCGCGAAAGCGUGGGGAGCAAACAGGAUUAGAUACCCCCGUAGUCCA